GUUCAAGAAUGAUAGUGGCUUAGACGUGGACCCUGAAAAAGAAGUUACUGUGACCUCCGGGUGCACCGAAGCAAUAGCUGCUACCAUUCUCGGCUUGAUCAAUCCUGGUGACGAAGUAAUACUUUUUGCGCCAUUUUAUGAUUCCUACGAAGCGACUCUCUCAAUGGCUGGUGCCAAAAUCAAGUCAGUAACUCUCCGCCCUCCGAAUUUCUCCGUCCCGCUCGAUGAGCUCAAGUCAGCAUUCUCAAAGGACACCCGUG
rnacentral:misc_RNA from 1 species